rnacentral:rRNA from 1 species
AGAGUUUGAUCAUGGCUCAGGACGAACGCUGGCGGCGUGCCUAAUACAUGCAAGUCGAGCGAACCACUUCGGUGGUUAGCGGCGGACGGGUGAGUAACACGUGGGCAAUCUGCCUAUCAGACUGGAAUAACGCCUGGAAACGGGUGCUAAUGCCGGAUAGAGCAAUGGGGAGGCAUCUUCCUGUUGGGAAAGGCGCUACG